AUGAUUAAUGAUAAACCUAAAUUCUGAUUGAAAUAAUAUAUUUGUUUGCCUUUUUUUUCUUAUUUCAGACUUUGACAUGGACAUGUCGGAUGAGAUCCUGAUCACCGACAUCAUCGACCAGCUCAACCACCGGGUGGCAUUCAUCACAGGUGGUAAGACUCAGGAGGGGUAUCCCAUCAUCAACAUGCCGGAGUGUCCAAAGUUCAACCUGGUCCGAGAUGAAGACUUUGUCAGACUCAUGACCUACCUCGUCAGAAUACCAAGUUAUUUCCAAGGCCUACGAUGUGAAAGUCGUCUGGAAUUUGACAGGGGGUUCGUCAUAAUCAUCGAUCGAUCUACAAACUCAUGGGGAGACGUCAAAACGACCUUGAUUAGAAUAGCGGAUUAUUAUCAGGGUUACUUCCCCGGUAUCAUCCAAGGUGUGUACGUCAUCAAACCCAGAGGCUUCCUCCAGAAGACCUUCUCAGAGAUGCGCUUCAAAGGACUCAAGGAUGAAUUCAAAUUCAAGAUUGACCUAGUGGACAGCACCACCGAACUCCAUGCUCGGAUAGACCCCACGCAGCUUACCAACGAAUUCGGUGGUACUUUGAACUUUGACCUCAAAGGGUGGAUAGAAGACAGGAUGGCCAUCGAGCGGUUCGCCAGCAACUGUCGGGAGCGGUCGACGACGGUGCGCGCCCUGACGGAGGAGCUGCAGCUGAUGGAGAUGCCCAAUAAUGCGGAGAACGCCACCAUGCUGCUGAUCGAACAGCGGAAGCGUCGCAUGGAGGUCAAGGAGGACCUGACGUCCGCGGUCAAGUACGGUCAGACGCUGCUCAGCUGCCUACGAAAGGUCACCGGCGAUGGGAAGGAGAAGAACCCUGAUAAACUACUCACAACAUGUGCAAUAGAAAAACUAUUAGAAGAACUGGAAGUCUUGGAGAAGGAGUUUGACGACACCUGGUGCGACCAAGAAUCCAGGUUAAUAUUCUGCCUCAAAGUCAGGAAGUACGAAGAGGAAUUCAAAGUGGUAUUAUUACUGUUAGAAAAUAUCUCAGAGAAGAUCAACCCAGAAAGCAGCAUAGGCAAUGCUGUGGAAGAAUGCAACACAUUCUUGGAAAGACAUGCAGAAUUAGAAGCAGAGAGCAAGGAGGCCUUAGACCGAUCAGACAAGCUGACCCAGACGGGCGAGGACCUGAUGAAGAACGACAAGUACCCCAUGGAGGUGGCCAUCGUCGAGCCCAAGUGCACCGAGCUGGUCAGCAGAACCUCCGACCUGCAGGACAGCCUCGCCAACCGACGCACCAUGCUGGAGAGGUCUCUGGAACUGCACCAAAGGAUACAAAAGGCCGAUGAUUGGUGUAGCGAUGGCAUGAAGCUUCUGGCCUCGCAGGAAAUGGAUCAGUCCCAGUCCAAAGAGGGAGCCGAGAAGUACCUGCGCCAGAUCGACGAGGAGCUGAGAAGGUUUCGGGAACUCAAGCUCAGCGACCCGCGAGAGUUCCGUCAGAUGUUUGCGGAUAUACUCAGCGUCGAGGGGAAGUUUGAGCAGCAAAAGAACCUGGUUCGAGAAGCUGUUACAAAGAUGGAGGAUGUCAGGUCGCUUUUCCAGAAGCGCCGGGAAGGCUUGAAGAACAUCAUCGCCAAGUUUGAGAGGCCGAUUGUCAAGAUGGCCCCCGUGGCCCCCCUCCAGCACUCGCCCCACUCCUCCACGUCAACCACGCCCCACAGCUCGCCCUCCGGAGGCAGGCUGGGUGUCCCCCACAACGGCACUUCCGCCCCCGUCUCGCCCAGGCAGAAGCAUAAAAAGGGCAAAGGGCAACGGUUGGACCGUAAGAUCGAGAUCAUCCGCGAUGACUCACAGCCCAUGAGUUUCAGCAGUGACGGGGAAUUCCAGGAUGAAGUGGAUUGCAACUCUCUCAGUUAUAAGCGCAGAAUCCUCAUGAAAAUGGGUGUGUGUCCCAAGUCCUACGCUCACCAAGACAACGGUUUCCAUCACUUCGUAAUGGAGAAGAACCACUCCAACUCCUUUAGAUCCCUUGCUCAGUAUAAGCUGAGACAUGUGAUCAAGGAGCUGAUAGAGACAGAGAAGAUCUACGUAAAGGAGCUAGAAGCGGUUUUAAACGGUUACAUCAAGCAGAUGGAUAGCCCCGCCUUUGUGGGACAAAUCCCUCCCUCGCUGCAGGGGCACACAGACGUACUAUUUGCCAACUGGGAGCAGCUCUACAACUUCCACAAAAAUAAAUUCUUGGUGGAACUGGAGAAUUACAGAAACACACCCACCCUAGUCGGCAAGUGCUUUGUAGAUAUGAAAGAUGAGCUGGAUCAGCUGUACAGUGUUUAUUGCCAAAACAAACCCAGGUCUGAGUUAUUAAGGAGAGAAUGUGGCUCAAACAACACAUUUUUCCAAGAAUGCCAAAAGCAAUUAGGUCACAAACUACCCCUGAGUGCUUACCUACUGAAACCCGUUCAGAGGAUAACAAAGUAUCAACUCCUACUGAAGGAGAUGAUGAGAUACUCUCCAAUGGAGAAAGGAGCGGACGAUCUUCAGGCUGCUCUAGACUGCAUGCUAACAGUACUCAAAUAUGUCAAUGACUCCAUGCAUCAAGUAGCCAUUACUGGUUAUGAGGGAACCCUUUCUGAUCUUGGCAAGCUGCUCAUGCAAGGUCCCCUCCAUAUGUGGACGGAGCACAAGAGUCGUCACAAUCUCAAAGACAUCCGACAGAAGCGCAUGCAACGUCACAUCUUCCUCUACGAGAAGGCGGUGCUCUUCUGCAAGCGGCGGGGGGACAUCAGCGACAAAACGUUCUACGGCUACAAAAACAGUAUUCCUACACCGUCCUUAGGUUUGACAGAGCAUGUGAAAGGAGACAAGAAGAAGUUUGAGUUAUGGCUCGGUGGUAGAGUAGAAGUCUUCAUCUUACAGGCACCAACAGAAUCUGACAAGAUAGCAUGGACUAAGGCAAUCAGACAAGCCCUUCUAACCAACAAGGAGCAGACAGGGAGAAAAAUCUCAGCUACACAGAAGCCAAUCAUUGAGAAUCACGUAGAAGCGUUGCACGCCAACACCAACGCGGGUAACAACAAUGGUCUCUCACUCCCUUCACCGACCAGCGACUCGUCGUCAGCGGGUAGCGCAAAUCCCUCGCUUACAAGUGAGCCCUCGUUAGAGAACGAUGAGGAAUACGACGACUGGGGCAGCGCAGAGUUCACCGAUUCAGAAGAUGAGAUAUUAGAUCGGGAUUGCCUGUCUGAACCCGUCGACAUGAACCAGUACGUGGUGCUCGCCGAGUACAACGUGGUCGAGCCCGGGGAGCUGUCCGUGCGGGAGGGGGAGAUCGUCGAUGUGCAGAAGGUCGGUAAAUCGGGGUGGUGGCUGGUGCGCAAGCACUCGAACGCCGACCAGGGCUGGGUGCCGGCCAGCUACCUGGAAAUGCUUGCUAGUCGCAUCUCGCGUUCAAACCACUCCCUAAGCAGUCAAGACUCCUUCUACAUCUGAGGAGGUCAGCUGAUCAUUGAUCAGUGCGUGGGCUAGAGAGGGAGCCCUUCAGAGAGAGUCCGGAUGAACGGUAAACACAGAAGAGUGAACGGCAAGAGAUGAGACACCGUGACCCCUUGACCUACCUUGACCUACCUAUCUUUGUUGCGUGCUGGUCACACAGUCAGACACUCUUAACCCUCAGACUACUGAAUGCUCCAGUUCCCAUAGGCUUGACACAGGGACACACCCGGUUUCCAGGAGGCAACAGGUUAAGUGCCCUCCAGCAGUCGAGCAUACAUAACUAAAAACUUCCCAUGUCAUACAACAUUCCCGCUUCCAUGCUAAAAGCUUAUGGGAGACCAAACUGUAGCUAUUUUCCGAUUUAGAUGUCGCGUAUAUUUGGAGAGAUUUCGGGGAAAAACAGCAAGAAUUGGACAACAAAUUUUUUAUUGUGAAUGGUGACGCUGAAUAUUGGACACUUGACUUCAUGAAGUUGCAUCGUUUGGCAGAUCGAGAGACGAGUCAUUUUUAGAUGUUGAAAUACAGCAUUUGAUUAAUCAUGAAGAAACAUGUAUCCCUACAAAGCACCACCUACAUAUAUAUAUAUGCAUGUAGGCGUUAACUGCUACUCCUGUGUAGAGAGAGGCAACUGUGGAUGAAAUGCCCAAUAUCAGGGAGAAAGGAUCAGUUGGCUUGGAUUUGAACCUCUGACCCUACGAUUGCACACGAGUGACAUAACCAGCAGACCAGUUGGAACGGCAUCCUGGAGAAUACAUUCCGUGGAGCAUCACCAUGACAACAAAGAUGGAGAAUGGAUGUCAGGAUUGUAUGGCGCCCUCAUCGUAAUUUCUACUUAUUUUCUCUCUUCUCACAAUAAAUUUAUGUCGUGAAAGCUGUUAGCUCACCUAUGACGUCUUUUCCAAUAUACAGCGUUAGGGAAAGAAAUAUACACUACUAAUAGUGUUUAAUGUAUUACAUAAUCAUGUACGGUCUCAUAAUGCUUACCAACCUAUACAUAUGAUCUUUUCAUAACCAAAAGGGCAAUAACUGUUAAAGUACAUGUUCCUCAGAAAGUAUCUGCUUAAAUUUGUUUCAGCUGUCACAUUUAAUUGAUUAAUUCAAUAGAGCAAAGAAAGAGAUUAACAAAUACUCACUGUUUUUGACUAGUUUCAGGCUCUCUUUAAAAUAAUAUUCUUAGUAAAGUGAUCCAUAACUACAGUUUGCAAAAAAACUUACUUUCUUUUAAUAGACUGUUAUGAUAAGCAGAUCACUUUUUAUAUGGAUCCACCUGAAAUUUGAAACGGUUCAUUAACUUUUUUAACUGGAUGAUAUACCCUUGAUAAACUAUACCUUUGGAAUAAAAAGAGAUCAUAUACUCAAUACAUGUAUGUAUUACUCUAUACAGCAUACUUAAACCAAUAUGGGCAUUUCUAAUUACUCCCUAGAUUUUGUUUUUAUAUUGGUAAGAAAGAGCAAAUACUUGAGAAGGAGUGUCGAUAUGCCUUUUUUCGUAAUGUAAUCAAAGUUAAUGCAUACGUCUUUGUGAAUUAGUGCCUCGAUACAACUGAUUCCGUUCACCUG